rnacentral:lncRNA from 1 species
CAUAUACAGAAAUCUUAACAAAUACAAAAAAUUUAGAAAUCAAUGAAAAACUAGAAGUAUUUAAUGAAGAAAACUUAGAAAAUAUAAACAAGGAAAUAAACACUCUUGAUAAAAAAGAAGAUGAAAAUAUAAAAAAUAUAAUACCCAGAACAUCAGAAAUAAGAAAACCUACAUAUUAUAAGAAUAAGCUUAAAAGAUAUAAUCUAAAGAAUGAAUAUGACAAAUGGAC